rnacentral:rRNA from 1 species
UACGUAGGGGGCUAGCGUUGUCCGGAUUUAUUGGGCGUAAAGAGCGUGUAGGCGGCCAGGUAGGUCCGUUGUGAAAACUCGAGGCUCAACCUCGAGACGUCGGCGGAAACCCUCUGCCUAGAGUCCGGAAGAGGAGAGUGGAAUUCCUGGUGUAGCGGUGAAAUGCGCAGAUAUCAGGAAGAACACCCGUGGCGAAGGCGGCUCUCUGGGACGGUACUGACGCUGAGACGCGAAAGCGUGGGGAGCAAACAGG